AUGCCCUUCUCCGGCGACCUGACAGAGCGCAACCGCCAGUUGCUGCUAGACCAGCAGAAUUCCUCCGCCAUAAAGAUCCAGGUUUGUUUUAAACCCUUCACGAUUGUAUUACGGGGUUGGCGCAUCGCCAGUUCAGCACGCUGCCCGUUCGAGUUCGAUCUUCCAUGGACCAUCCGGGAUAAAUCUAAAUUGGUAUGUGUGCGUGGGGUUGUGGGUGGGGUGGGGUUGGGGGAUGUGAGGAAAAGCUAUGUUGCUUCGGAUUUUUUGGGUCAAUUCCUGUUAUUUUUUGAUGCAAAGGAGGACAAAGAUAUUGAUAUACUAUGUCAAGUCUGUGACCUGCUUCUACAAUAUGCCAAACGUGAUGGAGAUGUUGCAAGUCUCUUUGCUGGUGCAGAUUACUCAGUGGAACAUGUUGUAGUUCACAACGUAAAAAAGCUUGCACUCAUCUGUGUGCGUGCUGUUCAUCAGAAAAGUAUGUAA
rnacentral:rRNA from 1 species